UACGUAGGGGGCAAGCGUUGUCCGGAUUUAUUGGGCGUAAAGAGCUCGUAGGCGGUGUGUCGCGUCGACCGUGAAAACCUGGGGCUUAACUCUGGGCGUGCGGUCGAUACGGGCAUCACUAGAGUUCGGCAGGGGAGACUGGAAUUCCUGGUGUAGCGGUGAAAUGCGCAGAUAUCAGGAGGAACACCGGUGGCGAAGGCGGGUCUCUGGGCCGAUACUGACGCUGAGGAGCGAAAGCAUGGGUAGCGAACAGG
rnacentral:rRNA from 1 species